rnacentral:tRNA from 14 species
GGUCCCGUAGCUCAGUAGGAUAGAGCGGCAGAUUCCUAAUCUGUAGGUCGCAGGUUCGAUUCCUGCCGGGAUCACCA